rnacentral:rRNA from 1 species
UGGGGAAUAUUGCACAAUGGGCGCAAGCCUGAUGCAGCCAUGCCGCGUGUAUGAAGAAGGCCUUCGGGUUGUAAAGUACUUUCAGCGGGGAGGAAGGCGAUAAGGUUAAUAACCUUGUCGAUUGACGUUACCCGCAGAAGAAGCACCGGCUAACUCCGUGCCAGCAGCCGCGGUAAUACGGAGGGUGCAAGCGUUAAUCGGAAUUACUGGGCGUAAAGCGCACGCAGGCGGUCUGUCAAGUCGGAGGUGAAAUCCCCGGGCUCAACCUGGGAACUGCAUUCGAAACUGGCAGGUUAGAGUCUUGUAGAGGGGGGUAGAAUUCCAGGUGUAGCGGUGAAAUGCGUAGAGAUCUGGAGGAAUACCGGUGGCGAAGGCGGCCCCCUGGACAAAGACUGACGCUCAGGUGCGAAAGCGUGGGGAGCAAACA